rnacentral:rRNA from 1 species
CAACUAACAGUCUAGCUACAACACACCUCAUGCAACAUAACCAAUUAAAGCCAAAUUAAAACAUUUUAAUUCUCUAGUAGAGGCGAUCAAAAAACCCCUUAACGCUUUAGACACAGUACCGCAAGGGAAAGAUGAAAUAAAAAUGAAAAUUCAAGUAAAAAAUAGCAGAGAUCAAAACUCGUACCUUUUGCAUCAUGGUCUAGCUAGUCUAACCAAGCAAAACAGGAAUUUUAGUUUGCCCCCCCGAAACUAAGCGAGCUACUCAAAAACAGCCUCAAGGGCCAACCCGUCUCUGUUGCAAAAGAGUGGGACGAUUUUUAAGUAGUGGCGACAAACCUACCGAGCUUAGAGAUAGCUGGUUAUUCAAGAAAAGAAUCUUAGUUCUGCCUUAAGCACAACAGUAAUCACAAAACAAGCUUAAGAGUUAUUCAAUUAAGUAACACCUUAAUUGAACAAGGCCACAACCUAAAUCGCAGGGUAAUUCAUAUAACCAUAGCAAAGUUGGCCUAAGAGCAGUCACCUUAUACAAAAGCGUCAAAGCUUCCCUAUGUUAAAGAAAAAAUACACAAAUAACCAAAAACCCGCCUUCAAUAUUGAAUGAUUUCAUAAUUAUAUGAAAGACACUAUGCUAGAACUAGUAACAAAGAAACCAUUCUCCAAAAUGUAAGUAUAAGCCAGAACGGACACACCCACUGGCAAUUAACGCCAAUAAACCUACUGUAACAACCAAGCCUAGAAAACCCUACAACACAUAGACGUUAACCUAACACAAGAACAUUACAGGAAAGAUAAAAAGGAGUGGAAGGAACUAGGCAAAUACCUAACCCCGCCUGUUUACCAAAAACAUCGCCUCUUGAUAACCUAUAAGAGGUCUAGCCUGCCCAGUGACAAAGUUCAACGGCCGCGGAAUCCUGACCGCGCGAAGGUAGCAUAAUCACUUGUUUCCUAAAUAGAGACUAGUAUCAACGGCAUCACGAGGGUUAAACUGUCUCCCACCCCCCAUCAGUAAAACUGAUCUCCCCGUGAAGAAGCGGGGAUACAAUUAUAAGACGAGAAGACCCUAUGGAGCUUCAGGCAAUGCAGGCACCAUUACAAAACAAAACCACACAUAUACUAAAUCUGCCUGCCAGCCUUAGGUUGGGGCGACCGCGGAGUAAAAUAAAACCUCCACAACAAACAGGACUACACCUUAAUCCGAGAGCCACCACUCCAAGAAUAGACAAAUCAAUGUAAUAUGACCCGAUAGUCGAUCAAUGAACCAAGUUACCCUAGGGAUAACAGCGCAAUCCAUUUCUAGAGCCCAUAUCAACAAAUGGGUUUACGACCUCGAUGUUGGAUCAGGGUAUCCCAGUGGUGCA